rnacentral:tRNA from 1 species
GGGGUUGUAGCUCAGUGGUAGAGCGCUUGCCUAGCAUGCGUGAGGCACUGGGUUCAAUCCUCAGAACCACA